UAGGGGACCGUGAGACAAAGAGCGCGCAGCCACGGCCUUUGUCCGCGCGGCCCCUUUAAGAAGCGCGCCCCCAGCUUCCAGCCCGCCUUGUAUGCAAAUUUGGCGGCCAGCGGGAGCGCGCGGCUGAUACCCGGGGACGGGGCUGCGGCGGUUAGUCCUCUCCCGGCCGCCGUCGCCUCCGACAUAUUGCCCGCAGGAGCUGCGGCGGCGGAGCGGAGAGCGCCGGGGGGAGGAGAUGGGAGGACGAAGAGGUCCCAACAGGACAUCCUACUGUCGAAAUCCUCUGUGUGAGCCAGGAUCUUCAGGGGGCUCUGGUGGGGGCCAUACUUCCAGUGCAUCGGUCACCAGUGUCCGUUCGCGCACCAGGAGCAGUUCUGGGACAGGCCUCUCCAGCCCGCCACUGGCCGCCCAGACGGUUGUGCCCCUCCAGCACUGCAAGAUCCCCGAACUGCCAGUCCAGGCCAGCAUUCUGUUUGAGUUGCAGCUCUUCUUCUGCCAGCUCAUAGCCCUCUUCGUUCACUACAUCAACAUCUACAAGACAGUGUGGUGGUAUCCACCCUCCCACCCACCCUCCCACACCUCCCUGAAUUUCCACCUGAUCGACUUCAACUUGCUGAUGGUGACCACCAUCGUUCUGGGCCGCCGCUUCAUUGGGUCCAUCGUGAAGGAGGCUUCUCAGAGGGGGAAGGUCUCCCUCUUUCGCUCCGUCCUGCUGUUCCUCACCCGCUUCACCGUUCUCACGGCAACAGGCUGGAGUCUGUGCCGCUCCCUCAUCCACCUCUUCAGGACCUACUCCUUCCUGAACCUCCUGUUCCUCUGCUAUCCAAUGAUGGGCCUUCAACAUAUCCUCCAGUUUAUCCAGCCUCUCAAUCAUGCUACCUGUUGCCUGGAGUCCAUUUUUCCCCCUAAAGACAUCCCUCCUGGAGCCCUCCAUCCUCCUGCUCCAGUCUGGAGUGGUUGUUCUUUAGGCCUGCUGUACAGCUCUCAGCCUGGGACUUCCCUUCGCUGCCCUCCUGGGUUGGAUCCACUGUUUCCUGGAUCCCAUGUCUUCCUCUUUCUUCCUCUUCCUCUUAUUUUGCUGGAGUGCAUUAUCAGGUUUGGGAUGUACAUUCCGUUCCUGCAGCUGAACUGUGACCUCCGCAAGACGAACCUCUUCAGCCACAUGGCCUCCAUGGGUCCCCGGGAGGCGGUGAGUGGCCUGGCGCGGAGCCGGGACUACCUGCUGACACUGAGGGAGACGUGGAAGCAGCACACACGGCAGCUGUAUGGGCCAGACGCCAUGCCCACACACGCUUGCUGCCUGUCCCCUAGUCUCAUCCGCAGCGAGGUGGAGUUCCUCAAGAUGGACUUCAACUGGCGCAUGAAGGAAGUGCUGGUCAGCUCCAUGCUGAGCGCCUAUUAUGUGGCCUUUGUGCCUGUCUGGUUCGUGAAGAACACACAUUACUAUGACAAGCGCUGGUCCUGUGAGCUCUUCCUGCUGGUGUCCGUCAGCACCUCAGUGAUCCUCAUGCAGCACCUGCUGCCCGCCAGCUACUGCGACCUCCUGCACAAGGCCGCUGCCCACCUGGGCUGCUGGCAGAAGGUGGACCCAGCACUGUGCUCCAACGUGCUGCAGCACCCACUGGAAGCUCUUCAAGUCUGGGCCCUCCUGAAUCACAUCUGAGCCUCGGGCCCAGCACAAGGUGUGGCAGAGAAGAGGCCCCUAGGACAGGUUUGUAGAGGUGGACAGAAGAAUGCAUGUGGCCACAGGGCGUGCUGGUGAAGCACAGCAAGAACGUCUACAAAGCCGUGGGCCACUACAACGUGGCCAUCCCCUCGGACGUCUCCCACUUCCGCUUCCACUUCUUUUUCAGCAAACCCCUGCGGAUCCUCAACAUCCUUCUGCUGCUGGAGGGUGCUGUCAUUGUCUACCAGCUAUACUCCUUAAUGUCUUCUGAAAAGUGGCACCAGACGAUCUCCCUGGCGCUCAUCCUCUUCAGCAACUACUAUGCCUUCUUCAAGCUGCUGCGGGACCGCUUGGUAUUGGGCAAGGCCUACUCCUACUCGGCCAGCCCCCAGAGGGACCUGGACCACCGGUUCUCCUAAGCCCCAGGGUGACCCCAGGGACAGCAUCCAGGCUUCAGCCAGGGGCUCUCUGGGAAGGGGCAGUUGGGGAGGGUUGGGUGAGGGGCAAAAAACCCCACAAAAACAGACAAAAAAAUUCACCAGAGCUUUGUAUUUUUGUUACAUACUGUUUGUUUCUUUGAUAAUUGAUGUGAUUAUGGGGGGGGGGAAAAAAGUCCUAUUUUUAUACUCCCA